AUGAGUAAGGACAGGUUCCAGGAUUUGGUCGACUGGGCGGAGGAGAACAAGGCAGCGUACAAGGACGGCGGGAAGUGGACGGAGGAGGUGAACCUCGGCCUCGGUAGCCCGGCGCUGGUGAUCUCCGGCUUCGUCCCGUUCGCCAUCGACGGGGAUCUGGGGUUCGGGAAGCCGAGGCUGGUCUUGCCGUGGCUGCGGCACAACCGGCUGGGGUCGGCGGCGAUGAUCCUCGUGCCCUGCCCGAGCGGGGAUGGGUCGUGGUUCGUGGAAGGCACGAGGCUGUGGCCGCGGCUGGUGGAGGUGGUGGAGAAUGUCCCGGAGAGCUUGCUGACGCCGGUGACGGCCGGGAGUCUAGGGUUCGCAGAGCCGGCCGGCGAGCACUACGGUUCCCGUCUGUGA
rnacentral:rRNA from 1 species